GAUGAAGAACGCAGCGAAAUGCGAUAAGUAAUGUGAAUUGUAGAAUUCAGUGAAUCAUCGAAUCUUUGAACGCACAUUGCGCCCCUUGGUAUUCCGAGGGGCAUGCCUGUUCGAGCGUCAUUAUAACCCCUCAAGCUCAGCUUGGUGUUGGGGCCUGCCGCACGGGCAGCCCUUAAAAUCAGUGGCGGUGCCAUCUGGCUCUAAGCGUAGUAAUUCUUCUCGCUAUAGAGUUCCGGUGGAUGCUUGCCAUUAACCCCCAAUUUUCUAUGGUUGACCUCGGAUCAGGUAGGGAUACCCGCUGAACUUAAGCAUAUCAAUAAGCGGAGGA
rnacentral:misc_RNA from 1 species